GAUGAACGCUGGCGGCGUGCCUAAUACAUGCAAGUCGAGCGAACGGACGAGAAGCUUGCUUCUCUGAUGUUAGCGGCGGACGGGUGAGUAACACGUGGAUAACCUACCUAUAAGACUGGGAUAACUUCGGGAAACCGGAGCUAAUACCGGAUAAUAUUUUGAACCGCAUGGUUCAAAAGUGAAAGACGGUCUUGCUGUCACUUCUAGAUGGAUCCGCGCUGCAUUAGCUAGUUGGUAAGGUAACGGCUUACCAAGGCAACGAUGCAUAGCCGACCUGAGAGGGGGAUCGGCCACACGGGAACUGAGACACGGUCCAGACUCCUACGGGAGGCAGCAGUAGGGAAUCUUCCGCAAUGGGCGAAAGCCUGACGGAGCAACGCCGCGCGAGUGAUGAAGGUCUUCGGAUCGUAAAACUCUGUUAUUAGGGAAGAACAUAUGUGUAAGUAACUGUGCACAUCUUGACGGUACCUAAUCAGAAAGCAACGGCUAACUACGUG
rnacentral:rRNA from 1 species